AUUGACCGCUGGCGGCAGGCCUACCACAUGCAAGUCGAGCGAGCGGCGGACGGGUGCGUAAUGUCUGGGGAUCUGCCCGUUAGCGGGGGAUAACUACUGGCAACGGUGGCUAAUACCGCAUACUACCGGAUGAACCCAGAUGGGAUUAGCUACUAGGUGGGGUAAAGGCUCACCUAGGCGACGAUCUCGAGCUGGUCUGAGAGGAUGAGCAGCCACACUGGGACUGAGACACGGCCCAGACUCCUACGGGAGGCAGCAGUGGGGAAUAUUGGGCAAUGGGCGCAAGCCUGACCCAGCAACGCCGCGUGAAGGAAGACGGUCUUCGGAUUGUAAACGUCUGUAGACAGGGACGCGGUACCUGUAGAAUAGGCCACGGCUAACUACGUGCCAGCAGCCGCGGUAAUAC
rnacentral:rRNA from 1 species